rnacentral:ncRNA from 2 species
UAUAUUUGCAAAAAUUUUGGUUUCCAAGACAUUGGAACGAAGAGGGAAUCGGGUGCAAACCCCGAGCUGUCCCCGCAACUGUAAAUCGCACGAAAUUUUUUCUGUAGAAUAACCACUGCUAACGCGGGAAGGUGCAGAAAAAGCGAAAGCCAGGAGACCUGCCAGGAUUUUAUAAAAAAU